rnacentral:misc_RNA from 1 species
ACGGCGCUGAGGGCCUCGAGACGCACCCGUGCACAAUAACAACAAAGAAAAAACAUAGCAGCGGGCUUGCCUACCGCUUACCUCCUCGUACAAGCCCUGUUGACAGACACACUUCCUCUUUCCACCGCCUGCCACCAAAGCCCGUUUCACUCUGCUACACCACUCUUAGGACUUCUUAUCCGACUCUUCGCUGCCUUGCUGUUCCGUAUCGUGUGGUUACCAAGUCCAACUAUCGUUGUUCCGCGACAGAUCCUUGCGCGAUCUCGCCCCUCCCCUUUGUCUUCGCCUUGAAUUCUCAUUCGCAUAUAUUUUUUUGAUGUAGCAGUGCCCUUUCCUCCGUUAUUCUCUCCUGUCUUUCCUCUUCUGACGCCCAACACGCAUGAGCUGUGGACAAAGUGACCCGUGUGCGGAAUGCAAACGCUGACACGCGGUGAGGUGCGGAGGGGGUGAAACAACAGCAAAAAUUGGACACGAAAAUAGCGGGAACACACACACACACACACACACACACACACGCGUACGCACACGAGGAAGACACAGUCGACGCGCGCGCACACACCGCCUCGCUAAUGUUUAGAGCGAACUGCGAAGAAAAUAGAAGCGCGAAAAAGAGCAAAUGGCAAACAAGCGACAGAUGCGCCGCCACGGCUCCUCUUCUCCAUUCGUUUUUUUUUUUGUUACGUGUCCGACGUAUGUGUUCUGCAUUUUUUUGAUUCUUUUCUUGUUGUUCUCGUGUGUGUAUAUGUGUGUGUGUGGCUGUUUGUUGUGGAUCUGUACCUCUUCUGCGUGUGCGUCUCUCUCUUUCUUUUUCUUUCUUCCCUCUCCUUACUGUGCUCGCUCUGCGUGGUGUUGCGCUCUUUUACGUCGGGUCCUGAUCUUCUUCGACAGCCGCUCUGCAUGACCCCGCCCUUCUUCCCAUCCCCUCUGCUGCGCGACUCGGGCCUUUGGCCCUCUCUUUCUGUUGGUUGCCCACGUGUUCUUCUUGUGCUUCCCCCCUUUCCCAUUGCGCACAGUGUGAGCAAAGCAGUCGACUGACAGACGCCGAGAAGAAGUAGGCCGACACACCCCCACCCACCAUCGUGGUGGGCCUAAGUGUCACGGGUCAGACCUUUGCGUGCGUUUUUUUCUCCGUUGUUGGUAAAAGGGGCUGACCCCGCCUCCCUCUCCCGUCUCACUUUAUUUUCUCCCACGUUUUCUUUUCGUUCUUUUUUGAUGUUGUCCCGUAUUUCGCGUGCGCACAGCCCUCACGCGCUAUCGAGGGGGCUGGCCAGAUGGAGGGGUGUGCUGCGGCGUUGGGGAGUGGUCGAUAAGCCAGAGAGGUGCCGGGCGUCGAUACGCUGCAAAGGAUCGGCGAAAAUGCUUGCAAGGGUGCACUGGACACCUCAACAAAGGAGCGAGGGGAGAAAAAAUUGAUGCGACAUAGCCAGAGCUACACCUGCGCUUGAGUGAGGCGAACGCCAACAGCGCGUAGAGUGACGCCGGAAAGCGGGUGCGGAGCGAGCGCGAAAAAACCCGUGAAAAGGCAAAGGCGCUAUGAAGAGCGUUUCGAAGUGAAAGAAAAAGCAAAAUCAACACCUGCGGGAAUGGUUUCUGCCCCUCGAAGACGCAUUGCUUGCGCAUCACUUCCCCGUCCCUGCCCCUCCUCCUUCUCCCGCGCAAAGGAGGUGGCACCUCUUUUUUCUAUAUGUGUUUGCGCGCGUGCCGGUCUUGACUUCUCUUUGGCGUUUUCUCUUUCGUGCUGUAUCUUUCUUUGCCUUUUUUUUUCGUGUGCUCGGCAUAUCCUUUUUUUUUUUCGGGGGAAAGGGGCUGUUUUGCCUGUCCUCUUGGCAGUUGUGUUUUGGUGGUUUUGAUGGUGGCGGGUGAGGAAGAACCGUUGGGAGGUCCCUAUACGAACUCCUGUUCUUUGGCUUCUUCUCCCACCUUGCAGCUUCUUACCUCUCACCGAGAGGAGCCUUGCUGCUAUUAUUUUGUGUCAGAGCCGCUAUUCUAUUUUUUCUGGCUUCUGUUUGCUCUCUUUCUAUACGGCACAUCGUUGUUGUGCAUUACCUCCUCUUCUGUUUUUUUUUUCUUCUUUCUGUGUUGUGUGUGUGGCGGCGCCAUGCCUUCCGCGCUCUUUGCUCCUCUCUCCACUCUUAUGCUCUUCUUUGGUGACUGUCCCGGCUGUGCUUCUGUUUUCUUGCCGUUCUCUGGAUGGGAGGCAGGAAGUGCAACCUUUGUGUCUCUCCGUUUCUGCAUUGCUGUCUGCAGGACAGGGGGAAGGGUAUGCGUGUGUGUGUGUGUGAAAAAAAAAAAGAGAUGCGCGGCGGACGGUGGUGGGCUAACAGCAGCGAUGGCGGUUUUCAACUGCGUCUUGUUCUGUUCCCUUCACGUCUAUGUUCCCCCCUCAGCCCACCCCCUUUUUCGGUCCUUUUUGCUUUUCGGUUACUCACUCGUCCAGAGCCUCAUUUCCAUGUGCAUGUGCAUGAAUGCUUUUGUUUGCCUUUUUGUGUGUCUAAAGGUGCGUUGUCGUGGGCUUGUGUGUGUGUGUGUGUUUGAAUGUGAAUCUUUCCCUCGUUUUCUCUCUCUCUGUCGUGCCGAUGCACAGCAACGUGUCUGCCUGUCUGCGUGUUUGUGUUUGAGUGCUUGGACCUUGUGGCAUGUAUCCAGCUAGGGGGAAAAGGCCAUUGACUUCGGUUUCUCCAUGCACGGGAGCGUUGCCUCCCCGCCAUUACCACCACGACCUCCGUCUGUGUACCUGAUUUUG